rnacentral:lncRNA from 1 species
GUUUCACAAAACUACCCCAUGAGUAAGAUAUGUCUUAGAAUGGUUUUACGGUAUAUAUUCUUAGUUGGUUUCACAAAAUGGUCCUAAAUUUGGACAUCUUUAAAAGUUGGUCACAAAGUAAGGACUACACGAGAGUUUCUUAUGAUGGUCUUAGGAUAGUCACAAGUUUGUUUAGUAUAAAUUACACUCAUUUUUAAUAUUAAUUUUGCAAAUUAUCUUUUUUAUUACCCAAUUAUCAAUUCGGAUGAUGGAGUUACAAAUAAGAGACACCAAAUGUAACCAUAAAUCUUACAACUCAAUAUAUAAAUGAAUAAAAACAAACACAUAGAUCUGUGCUUUAAUUUUCUAAACUAAAACAAAGUAAAUAAAGGGUGCACUGUCCCACUGGAAAGUCGCUGCCUAUAAAUGAACCAAAAAAUAAUUUUACUUGACAUCUAUUUUAAAUUUUAUUUUGCAAAAUUCGUUUGAUUUAAAAAAAAAAGUUUCUGUUGAAGUAUGGUAUAUUUUGUUGCUUGUUGAAUGGAUAUAGGAAGAUGUGGUAUAAGUGCCAAUGAAACAUCUCUCAAUCCAAGUAACGAUUUAUAAAAGUUAACCAUUAUAGGUCCAAUAACAGCCUUCAAAACGGAGUCUUGGCUCACCUCGAACAGUGAGCUAUUAUAUAGGACCCACAAUUACUAGUGAUAAACCAUUUAAACGGGUUAACCAACGGUCUAAGCAUAGAUGUAAUACAUGGGUAUAUGGUCUAAGUAUGUUUCAUAUAAAAUACAAAAAAAAAAUAAUGAUCAAAAUUUAUUAUACAAAUCUGCACAAAUGACAUAUCUUUUUAGCUCGUUUUCUCAAGUAUAGUUAUACCUAAGUGUUUAAUUUUAGCUGGUUUUUUUUUUAUUAUUAUUAAUUUAAUAUUUAUUUCAGCACA